rnacentral:rRNA from 1 species
UACGAAGGGGGCUAGCGUUGCUCGGAAUCACUGGGCGUAAAGCGCACGUAGGCGGCUUUUUAAGUCAGGGGUGAAAUCCUGGAGCUCAACUCCAGAACUGCCUUUGAUACUGGCGAUCUCGAGUCCGGGAGAGGUGAGUGGAACUGCGAGUGUAGAGGUGAAAUUCGUAGAUAUUCGCAAGAACACCAGUGGCGAAGGCGACUUCCUGGCCUGUUCUUGACGCUGAGGCGCGAAAGCUAGGGGAGCAAACGGG